AGUUGAUGAAAAAGCACUGUCCAUCCACCUGUGACUUCUGCUAUGAAUUCCCAUUUCCAGCAAUCCCCUCUACUUUGCCCCCACCAAGGACAAAAACCAAGACUGUUUCUGAAGGCAGGAACGUCACCUUCCGCUGCGGACAGAAGAUCAUUCAUAAAAAAGGCAAAGUUUACUGGUAUAAAGAUAAGGAGCUUCUGGAAUACUCAUAUCCAGGUUACUUAUCCUUAAACGAUGAUCACCUGAGCAUCAUUGCAAAUGCAAUUAAUGAAGGAACUUACACUUGUAUAGUAAAGAAAAAAGAAAGAAUCUUGACCACUUAUUCCUGGAGGAUCAGACUGAGGCACUAAUAAGGGCCCUGGAAUGAGAACUUCAAUUACUGCUAGUUCUGUUUCAAAUUCAAAUUUUUUCUUUAGCAUUUUAUAUUUAAUCUGCAGCAGUACAAUCAAACUUUUAAAUCAGCUGCUUCCAUAGCUUGGGCAAGAGAGACUGGGACUUUAUUUUUGGAAAAACUUUUCCAAGUUACUUUUAACGGGUAAGAAUUUAUCAAGCAUGUCCCGUAUAGAAAGAUAAUUAAAAAAUAAUAAUAAAAAAUUCAAGGGUCAGAUUUUGCAGUUAAAUGACCCAAGUCACUGCAGACUGCUGAAAAACAAGAACAAAACCCCUCACCAGAUAAAUGGAUCAACAGAUUGAUGGCUCAACUAUGUUGCAAUGGAAUCAGAGGCAUUAUGGAAGAAAAAAAACAACCAUCGUCCUCGUAACCUUGGGCAAACAAACACCAGCAAAACUACCAACUAUCUCACAACGCUGUAAGCGACAGCAGUCUAGGAAGGCCUGUGUUACAGCAGAAAGGCUCUAUCAGUAAAACUGUAAAAAAAGCUCACUUUGAUUAUAAUUUGAUUUUACAAAAAUAAAACCUGAAAUAAAUCAACAGCAAAAUAGUAUCUGAACUGCAAAAAUCCUGUGAUGCCACUAUACUCUCAUGCAGUAGAAUUUCCACUUUGGUCUAAAUGCUAUACCUCUGCAAUUCUUCCACACUGCUGAAAUCUGUUUUUUAAAUAGGCACAAUUUCAAACUAAUUAAAUACUGCAGUUCUGUUCCUAGUGAAACUGACUUUAACUUAUUUUCUCCCCUCACUUGCCCUCUUAUAACUUGCAUAUGAUUAAAAAAACCCACCUCCCUUAUCAGUGUCAGAAGUCCAGGGUUAAGUUAACCCACCUUGGAAAAAUGUCUUCCAAUUGUAUAUGAAAGGCUUGCUUAAAAAAAGUUAAAUACCAAUAGUAACCGCUUAUCAUUUAGGUAUUUUUAUCCCCUUUCAUUUCUCACAUAUUUAUUUAGUAUGAAUAAAUAAUCUUAGGCUUCACCUUUACCAUCACAUGUAGGCAGGAGUACAGGGCAGUAAAAAAUUUAAAAAUGCAUCUUUUGUAGGGACAAUUACAAUCAGGAUCAUAAACCGCAAGCACUCUGUGCAAAAAUAGACAUUUGAGCCAAAAUAAAAGUUGAGAUGUGGCAACUGAAAAAUGCUGCUCUACUGAGGAAGAGCCGAUAUUCCCUUCUAUGAAGAAAAUUGGAGUUACACAUACCUCUUAGAGCCACAUCACAUUCCCACGAUAAUCCAGCAGUAGGGUUUGUUGCUUUUGCUUUUUUAAAACCAAAACCAUCCAACUUCGAUGCCAGAUAAAUAAUUCUUUCUUUUUGUCAGUGAAUCAGACCUUCCAUGAGUGAUGCCCCCAAUGGCUGCAACAAUGCCAAGGAAGUUAGGAAGGAAGUAACGUCACAGAGUGCAAGAUGCACAACAGAGCUUGAAACACAAAAUGUACAGUCACAUGUUUGAUCCUUUACAGUUUACCACAGG